AUUGAACGCUGGCGGCAGGCCUAACACAUGCAAGUCGAACGGAGUGGCGAACGGGUGAGUAACGCGUGAGUAACUGCCCCCCUCUCUGGGAUAACAGUUGGAAACGGCUGCUAAUACCGGAUAGUGGGGGAUGACUCGCGUCCUAUCAGCUUGUUGGUGGGGUAGUGGCCUACCAAGGCGACGACGGGUAGCCGGCCUGAGAGGGCGACCGGCAACAUUGGGCUGAGAUACGGCACAAACUCCUAAGGGAGGCAGCAGUGGGGAAUAUUGCACAAGGGGGGAAACCCUGAUGCAGAAACGCCGCGUGCGGGAGGACGGCCUGGGAGUUGUAAACCGCUUUCAGCCAUGACGCGGUAGUGGCAGAAUAAGCACCGGCUAACUACGUGCCAGCAGCCGCGGUAAUUC
rnacentral:rRNA from 1 species